ACCUAGUAUUGGGCAGAGGAUACACUAUUCCUAGGGAAACCUCUUAACACUUACCCUACUUGCAACUAGAGCGCGUGGAAAACCUCCCACACUGGCCACGCUGAAAGCCAAGCCGCCGUUCGAUCAGUUCGUCACCGGUGCGUGAGAUACAGAAUUCGAUCCUUUCCGGUAGAACAGAGACGCACACAGGAGACAAAGGAGAGAGAGAGAAGUUUGGAAAUUCGGAUCGAAUACGUUCUGUAUCGGGUUGUCGAAAAAUCGGAACCCUAAUUUUCGUCUUCUUUUUGACAAAGAUUAAUUGCACAGGGUUUUCGAUUUCUUGAAUCGAACAGACCUGUAUGGCUUCGGGUGCAUUAUGUGCUAACGAAUCGAGAGAGAAGCGUAGAUGGGGAGAAAACAACGAAGUCUAUACGCGGAAGAUUCACAACAAGGGCAUCAAGAGCAACAGUAACACUACCAUCACAACCACCAAUCACAGCAAUAACGAAAGCAACAACCCUCAACAGUGUUUGCAAACCCUAGCUACUGAAGAGGCUAAUUCUUCACAGCCACAGCAAAGCCUGUCGCGAUUAGAUGCGCAUUCUGAUGUAUUAGGUGUUAACGAAUCGAGAGAGAAGCGUAGAUGGGGAGAAAACAACGAAGUCUAUACGCGGAAGAUUCACAACAAGGGCAUCAAGAGCAACAGUAACACUACCAUCACAACCACCAAUCACAGCAAUAACGAAAGCAACAACGUUCCUGCACAGUGUUCGCAAACCCUAGCUACUGAAGAGACUAAUUCUUCACAGCCACAGCAAACCCUGUCGCGAUUAGAUGCCCAUUCUGAUGUUUCUUCGAAACACAAUCAAGAAACCCAUUUUGGCGUUCCAAAUGGCUGUGAACUGCCCAAUGGAAAUGGGGUGAACAAACCAGUUGUUACAAAAGUUGACAAUCGGGUAAAGAUUAAUUUAGCAGCAGCUAGAUUGAACAAUGAGAUUGAGGAACUUAGGAGGAAGCUAGGGAGUGAGCUUGAUGAGGUGAGGAGUCUAGUGAAAGUGCUUGAAGCUAGGGAGGUUCAGCUUAAUGGGUAUUCUACUGCUACAGGUGGUUCUAGUCAUUUACUGCACUCUGCGAAUGAUGUGAUAAACAAGGCACAUUUAGUGAUGGUGAAUUCGGAUGCAUGUUCAGUGGCUCCUAAUGAUUCGGGGCCUUUCCAGCAGCUAAGUGUUUCUGUGAUGGAGAACAAUCAUGGAGUUGGUGAAUUUGCUGAGAAAGAUAAGAGAACUCCGAAAGCAAAUACUUACUACCAAAAUUCAGACUUUGUUCUUGGGAAGGAAAGGUUACCCACUCAUGGAAGUAACAAGAAGUUGAAAUCAAGUGGUGGGAGGAAGCUUAAUGGUGAAAUACGAGGUGGGUUUGCUAUGGAUAUGUGUAUGAGUCAAGCGUUUAAGAGCUGUAGCGAUUUGCUCACGAAGUUGAUGAAGAACAAGCAUGCUUGGGUGUUUAAUAAGCCAGUUGAUGCCAAGGCACUUGGGCUCCAUGACUAUGAUGAUGUAAUUGAGCACCCUAUGGACUUGGGCACAGUUAUGAGUAAGCUAGCCAAGAAUUGGUACAAGUCUCCGAGGGAAUUCGCUGAGGAUGUGAGACUUACUUUCCGUAAUGCCAUGACGUAUAAUCCAAAGGGGCAGGACGUUCAUGCUAUGGCAGAACAGUCGUCCCUGAUUUUUGAAGAGGAAUGGGCAGUUAUAGAGGCAAAGUAUAAUCUUGGUCAAAGGUUUGACAUGGUUUAUGGCAUUGGCAUGUCUUCUCCCACUUCGAGGAAGUCUCAUCUCCCGUUUGCUCCUCCUCCCCAGCAUGCUCUUGACAAGAUGAGUUUGGAUAGGUCAGAAUCAAUGAAAAAGCCCGUGGAUGCAAAAUUGAAACCCUCAAAUUUUGCUCGAGUAGGCAGGACUCCAGUUCCAAAAAAACCUAAAGCAAAGGAUACUAGCAAAAGGGACAUGACUUAUGAGGAGAAGCAAAGGCUCAGCACAAACCUUCAGAGGUUACCCUCGGAAAAGCUGGACAACAUUGUCCAGAUCAUUAAGAAGAGCAACUCAGCACUUUGCCAACAUGAUGAUGAGAUUGAGGUGGACAUUGACAGCCUUGAUGCAGAAACACUUUGGGACCUUGAUAGGUGUGUGACCAAUUACAAAAAGAAUUUGAGUAAGAAAAAGAGAAAAGCCGAACUUGCUUUUCACUAAAGAAUAGAAGCUAGUGAUGCUAUCCCAGAAACGGUAAGACCUUGAAUUGCAAAUUUUCCAAUAUUCCCGCAGGGAAGUCCUUUUGGCUUGUGCAUUAAUUUAUUAUCAUUGCAGAAUCCAUCCCUGGCCAUUGUGGAGGAACCAAAAGAAACUAAAACGGUGACAGUUUUAAAACAUGACGAUUGUUGGUGUUUUAGUCUUACGUUCAUGUGCUGAUUUGAAUGCCAACCUACUUAUUUUGCAUUGUUGAAUUCGAAUCAGUUGGUAUUUUAAGCAGAUGAAAAGAAUAUUGUUACUUCUUCUCCUGUUCGAGAAAGGCAAGGGGAUAAGGCAAGUAGUUCAAGCAGUUCUAGUAGUGAUUCUGGCUCUUCUUCAAGUGAUGCAGGGCAUUCACCUAGGACAUGAAUGAAUCCUUUAAGGGAAUCAGACAGAUGGUAUAAAUGCCUCCAUUUCUGCCUCUAGUACCUUUGGCCUUUCAUCCCUGUUCUGCCAAGCACCAGCAUCUGUAGUAGAUGAAUGUUGAUUCACGUUGACACCUGCCUUGCCAUUUUUGGGAGUGCUCAUUCUGCUUGUGAAUAUGAUGGGUGUAGCAGGGAGCUAAGGUGUUAUUGUUUGGCUGCAGAGUGGUAUCCUUCCCUUAGAUGUUUUUGGAUGGUUUAGAUCUUAGAAGUCUUAAUUCUUACCAUUACUUGAAACUUGUUGUUUUGCAUUUAAAGUUGUUGAAAGAUUGUGUAUGAUAACUAUAGGAUAUAGUGGUGAUGGGAGUUCUUGUCUGGUAAGACGUAAAUUUCCAGGAAUUGCUUCCAAUUUCAGUUAUGAGAAACUUAUGCUAGGUAUUAUAUUAUUUGUAUCAGUGCAUCAUAGUCUCCAUUCACAUCAUAGAAGGGGAGACCAGUACUAUAUAUAACAGGUCUAGGUCAUUAGAGUUUACUUUGAAGGAUAAUGCUGGUCCGUUAUGCCCACAGUUAGUUCCAAUUAUAACCCUUUGCUUAAGCAAGGGAGUGCACUUGCAAGUUGAAGCUACAUCAAGGGCAAAUAGUUAAGGGCAAAAUAGUCUCCGGGUCACCGUGCUACUCAUUUCCCUCGAUUCUGCUCGUGGUUCUUUUCUUUUCUGUUUUUUUUCCUCCCCUAAGUUUCCUUUUGGUUGGUUUUUUCUGUAACUUUAUUAUUAUUAGUGGAUGGAUCUUUCAGCAUAAUGCAUGCUUUUGACUCCUUGAAUUAAAGCAAUAUACACAAGUAUGUCAAAAUUCCAUUUCUGUAACUUGAA